ACAGUACUGUGUCUUUUCCUAAAUACCUUGACAUAAUUACAGAUUGCACCAAUUUAUCUGACAUCACGUAUGAAGCUUGGAAUCAGCUUGUUGGAAAAUCUAUUGUACAAACAGCCUGUACAACAGCACCAAGUUCUACUGAAGAGCAUGGACAUCUAUCGUCUGUAUGAACUUAACACUGUCUCUUCAAACAUUAUGAGGAUUGAUGGAGUCCACCACGGGAAACAUGGAAAGAAAGGCUCUGUAGUUUUCUGGUUUCAG